CCUACGGGAGGCAGCAGUGAGGAAUAUUGGUCAAUGGGAGAGAUCCUGAACCAGCCAAGCCGCGUGAGGGAAGACGGCCCUAUGGGUUGUAAACCUCUUUUGUCGGAGAACAAAACCCGGGACGUGUCCCGGACUGCGUGUAUCCGAAGAAAAAGCAUCGGCUAACUCCGUGCCAGCAGCCGCGGUAAUACGGAGGAUGCGAGCGUUAUCCGGAUUUAUUGGGUUUAAAGGGUGCGUAGGCGGUCCGUUAAGUCAGCGGUAAAAUUGCGGGGCUCAACCUCGUCGAGCCGUUGAAACUGGGUGCCUUGAGUGGGCGAGAAGUACGCGGAAUGCGUGGUGUAGCGGUGAAAUGCAUAGAUAUCACGCAGAACUCCGAUUGCGAAGGCAGCGUACCGGCGCCCAACUGACGCUGAAGCACGAAGGCGUGGGUAUCGAACAGGAUUAGAUACCCGGGUAGUC
rnacentral:rRNA from 1 species